rnacentral:rRNA from 1 species
GUAGUCUCGCACAGAUGCAUAUCAAUAAGCGGAGGAAAAGAAACUAACAAGGAUUCCCUUAGUAACGGCGAGUGAAGCGGGAAGAGCUCAAAUUUGAAAUCUUCAAGGUUUUACCUUGACGAAUUGUAGUUUAAAGAAGUGUUUUCUGUUGAAGUUUUGGUAAAAGUUCUUUGGAAUAGGACAUCAUAGAGGGUGAGAAUCCCGUAUUUGACCAUUAUUUUCAGCUGUGUGAUACACUUUCAAAGAGUCGGAUUGUUUGGGAAUGCAGUCCAAAAUGGGUGGUAAAUUUCAUCUAAAGCUAAAUAUUGGCGAGAGACCGAUAGCGAACAAGUACCGUGAGGGAAAGAUGAAAAGAACUUUGAAAAGAGAGUUAAACAGUACGUGAAAUUGUCAAAAGGGAAGCGUUUGACACCAGUGUUGUUUUCUCGAAAAUCAAUUAAAAAGAGUUAGAUUUUGUUGUGUAUUGACCUUAACAGCUUGCAUUUCAAUUUUCUUGCUUUUUUUAAUGCACUUUUCGUUUAACAAGUCAACAUCAGUUUCUUUUGUUGUAAAAAGGUCAUUGGAAGGUGGCUUUCUUUUCGGAGAAAGUGUUUAUAGCCUUUGACUCCUGCAAUCGGAGAGACUGAGGUCUGCAGCGUAGAUCCUUCGGGGUUAGAUACAUUUGUGCUAAGUUAUAGCUUUUUAUAGACAACUUGUUGACUAUGAUUAGUCUUGUAGCUUACUCGCUUAUGCUAUUUUACCUACGCUUAGGAUGUUGAGCGCAUGUCUCUCUC